GAAGAACACAAAAUCUGGUUAUAUUCAAAGCUGGCAACGUGCCUACACUGGAAACUGCUAUAUAAUCCCCAUCAGCUAGUCAUAUGCUGAUAGUUCUGUAAAAUUCUGAGCAGCCCUAUUGGACAAAGGCAAACUCAUCAACCUCCUAGAAUGCGAUUUGUAUUGUAUGAACAUGAGAUGUCUGCACCAGCCAGUUCUGGACAAAGGCAGAGCUUUUUGUCACUCAUCUCCAAAGCUGCGCAAAGGGUUUUACAGUUACCUGCUCAAAACACAACGGGUUUUCACAAGGGGCCCUCGUUGGCUAAAUGGCUCGACCUGAAACCACGAUGCCACAUGACCGAGAUUUGAGCUGUUUGAUUUACUUUAAUUAUACAGCUUUUGGAUUCUAUCUUCAGUUACUGUUUAACCUCAGAAGAGAUAACAGGAUUCCAGGCUAUAGCAGCCUGCCUCUGACCUCCACCUCUCUCAAAGUCUGAUCUCCAGGAAGAAUCUUGCAUUUUGCCUUCAAAGUGAACUAAUUUCCAGAAUACGAGAAUACUCUGGUGCAUUUUCACCUGCCUCAACCUUCAACUGAGCUCCUCGGAAAAGACCAGGACUUCUCUCAGACAAAGCCAACUGAAAGAACCUUCCCUGGACAAUGACUUACUGGACUCAUGUGAAACAAUUUUUUUUGUGUAGUCUUUGCCCUGUGCCUUUCUUUCCCUUAUCCUUCUUUCAUUGUGUGAAUGUACCAGGGUUAUUUAGCAGUAACCCCUUCCCUGUAUUUUCAGUAUGUGUAAAAUGAACUGACCCUGAUUUUAUCCCA